UUUGUGUGGACAGAUGAAGUCGGGUUGCUUCCUAGUGACAGUCAACCACUAAAUAAAUAGAUAUUUUAAAAAUGGGAACAUAUAAACAUUGGCAGGAACUGAGCAGCACAAACAAAAAGCACACAGGCCAAGAUCAAGUCUCUGACGGACUACAUGCUGAACAUGGAGCAGAAGAAGAGACAGCUGGAGGAGAGCCAGGACGCUCUGACUGAGGAGCUCGCUAAGCUGCAGGCUCAUGAGAAAAGAUGUCAGGAGAGGAGAAGGAGGACAUGAUGGGGACGGGGACAUAAAGUCUGAACAAGGGUCUGCGGCUGGAGCAGGAGAGGCUGAUGUCAGACUACGACAAACUGAAGACUGAAGAGCAGGAGAAGGACGCCAAGCUGCAGAAACUCAUGCUGCUGAAUGAGCAGAGGGAGCAGGCCAGAGAGGACCUGAGGGACCUGG